AACGAACGCUGGCGGCAGGCUUAACACAUGCAAGUUGAACGGGAUUUGUAUGGUGCUUGCACCAUGUAAUGAGAGUAGCGCACUGGUGAGUAACACGUGGGAACAUACCUUGAAGUGGGGGACAACAGUUGGAAACGACUGCUAAUACCGCAUAAUCCCUGAGGGGGAAAGAUUUAUCGCUUUAAGAUUGGCCCGCGGAAGAUUAGGUAGUUGGUGGGGUAAAGGCCUACCAAGCCGACGAUCUAUAGCUGGUCUGAGAGGACGAACAGCCACAUUGGAACUGAGACACGGUCCAGACUCCUACGGGAGGCAGCAGUGAGGAAUAUUGGGCAAUGGAGGAAACUCUGACCCAGCCAUGCCGCGUGAGUGAAGAAGGUUUUCGAAUUGUAAAGCUCUUUCGGAUGGGACGAUGAUGACGGUACCAUCUAAAGAAGCCCCGGCAAACUUCGUG
rnacentral:rRNA from 1 species